CCCACCUUACAUGGGGAAUACUGAAAGGAAUGAUGAGAGUGAUCUAAUGUCUGCAAGGCUGCAGGUUCCCCAUCCUUGAUAUUCAGGUAGAUGUUGGUAUUUGUUUCUCACGCAGGUAAAAAAAAUCUGAAAACGUUAUCUUGGCUUGGGAGACACAGGACACCUGGGUUCUCUUUUAGGAGUGUUCCUAGCUCCAGAGUUUACUACACAUUCCACAGAAAUUUGGAAGGGUGGGGAGAAUUUCCAAAUUAUAUAUCUCUUUCCUUGGAACCUUCCUGUCUUUUCUCAUCAC